ACAGUGUGGUUCAAUCUGUUCCUACUCUCUUUUAAAGGGAUGUUUAAAGGCUUCAGGGGAGCACUGAUUCAUCAGUGAUGAGUCAGCCUGUAGGUUCUCUUAAUUCACUGUGUUGAAGUUGGUUCUUAUGAUUCUGGAGCGCAGAACUGGAUGUCCCAAGGGAUCAUAAAUAGAAAUUAAAUGACCAAACAAAAAAUGUUAAACUGGUUUCUGAGUCAUGUGGUUUCUCAAGGGUGGUGUUAUUUCAGGUGGAAGCUGGAUUCCUAUUGUUCACUUAGUAGAAAAGACAAAACUGGUGAAGGAUGUCUGUAUUCACGAUGGUUAAGAAUUACUUCUUUCCCCCAGCUCCUGGUAAGGUUCCAGGAACACGAAAACUCAGAACAACUGAGUGUUUCAAAUGUUAUCUGUGUCAUGAGUUUGGUUAAGUUGACAUUAAGUAAUUUAUUCAUUUAUUUAUUGCUGAUUAAAACAGUGUUAAAUAAUCAGGCUGGCAUUCUAACCUGGCUGGCUUCAUAUUUACUGACUGUUUCACAAAACAUUUUAAUGAAACUUUCAUCAUAUUUUCUGUUUGUCUUUCCAGAGUCCGCUCUGGAUGAACCGUGGAGAGAACUACGCUGGCUAGACAAACAAAAGGAUCUCCAGUAUGUGCAGCAGUACCAACCUCAAAAAGAGGGCAUCACUUACCUUCGAGUCCUGCUGUAUGGACCUGUUGGACCUGGAAAAUCCAGUUUCAUCAACUCUGCUAGUAAUGUCUUUCAAGAGCAAAUGACAAUUCCUGCCUUUGCCGAUGCGACAGCCUCCAAAAAAAGCUUCACCAGAGUGUAUGAGACUCAUAAAUUCAGCAAAGGACGAGGAAGCUCAAAGACAUUUUUCCCCGUGGUCUUCAAUGAAAUCAUGGGUCUGGAAGAGGGGGAAGACCGUGGAGUUUAUGCUGACGACAUCAAGAUGGCUUUGGAAGGUCAUGUGAUGGAAGGCUACACGUUCAAUCCAGCUUCUCCACUAAUCAAAAAUAAUAUAGGCUAUAACAGGACCCCAUCUGCUGACGACAGAGUUCAUGUCCUGGUCUGUGUGGUGUCGGCCAACGCUUCAGAGAUUAAUCCUUCAGUUCUGAAGAAGAUGAAAAGCAUCAGAGAAACAGCUACGAACCUGAGAAUUCCUCAAAUAGCCAUUAUGACCCACAUCGAUGAUGCCUGUGGUGAAAUUCAGAAAGAUCUGAAAAAUGUGUACAAGAGUAAAUACCUGAGGAAAAAGAUGAAAGACUUCAGUGCAGAUAUGGGAUUCCCUCUGAACUGCAUCUUUCCUGUGAAAAACUACAUUGAAGAAAUCGACCUGAAGGAUGAUGUUGACUUUCUGAUCCUGAGCGCCCUGAAGAAAAUGGUCGACUUUGGAGACAACUUCAUCGAGAACAUCUGUUGAGAUUUAAAGGAAACUCUGAUGUGGAGGGAUUCAGUUAUUUGUUACAAUAAGGAAGUUCAACCAACAAACAGGACGCCUACUGCACUCUUAGAUCUGGAGAUUACCUCAAAGGGAAAUCAGAGGAGGAACCAGAACAUCUCCAGUAUACAACCGUUUAUUUUCUUGAUCUUUUGUUCUCCUUUAUGUCCUGGUGAUUUUACACACCAGUCCUGCUUCAGGGCUAGAAAUAUAUCAUAUAUUGGAGUAUUAUACACCCUGUCACAAUACUUUAUCAGCAUAAUAAAUUAUUUUACAUUGGCCAUCAAGCUUUUAUACUUUUCCAUAAUUUUCUUUACACAGAUGACCUCCUACAUCAGACAACUGGCUGAAUUGUUUUCUUCUUAAAAACACGAGUUAAUUUUCUCCACACAAUAAUUUCAUUACAUAUUAAAUGAAAUUCAUAUCAUAUUCAAAUCUUAAUUAAAACAAAUAUCUCUGCAAAGCAGUAACAUGUGGUUUCAAGUACAUACAGUCAGUUGAAGUACACUUACAUUUAAAAUACUAGCAAUUGUGGAAGUUACAACACAGCAUAUGAUUUUUUGACUUCACGGCUGUCUGGGUUAAGGGGGAGGAAGAAAGACGACAGUGGUUUUCCCCUCUCCCUGCUGAGAGGAAACAGCAUUAAAAUUACAGCUCUGCAUGUUGGAAUGUGCUCACCGAACAGGUUGUUCCAAGCUGUCUAGCUGGGAGUAGCAGCCACAUUCCUCCUUGUUUAUUGGACCUGCCAUGAUAGUCCUCGCCUCCAUGGACCUCUGUUUUAUCUGUGUUUUUCCUUCAUCUUCCUAAAGUAACCUGCUGAAAUGAUGUUCUGCUGGAAGUAAAUAUUUGUCUUGUCAGAUGCUCUGGUCCAAAAUGAAGUCAUCCUGGCUCCAAUGUGUUCCAGACAUGCUUGUAGUCAGAAUAACUGAUCGGAUUCAAUAAGAUUUAUGGAUAAAUAUAGAUGAUUAUCAUCAGCAUAACAAUGGAAAUCCAUCCCACGCUCUGUGAUUAUUUUACCAAAUGGUAGCAGAUAUACAGUCAUAUACAAUAAGUUAGUAUGUGCGUUCUGUUUUUUAGAUGAGAAGUACCUUGCAAAAAUAACCUUUAAGCAGGUAUGAACCAUACUUUUCAUAUUGCCAACGUCUGUAUUGAUAUGUUUUAUUAAUUGAUUUAAUGUAUAUUCUUAAAUAUCAUGGUUUCAUUAACUGUGAGUGGAAAAGCAUCAUAAUUAAUGGAAAUAAAAGCUUGAAAACAUCAA